UUGAAGUGUCCGAAUCCAUUGACGAAAAAAGGACUUGACAAGCUUCAGAACUCAGGUAACCAAAAAGCAAGACAAAAACCUCUUGAUUAUCACCAUUUUCUUUGAGGCUCUCUCUACAGCUUCCAAGUUGACCAGGGAUGCAAAGAUCAUCUGUCUUUGUUUGCUUAGAAUGAAUCCUUAACGUCAGUGUCUAAAACCUCUCAUUUCAAGUGCUUUAUAUCAAGGGUUUGGAAACUGUGGUCAAGUCAAAUAUUUAUUCUGAAUAUGGCUCCUCUAGGUAUCAAAACUUACUUCAUGAGUCCGGAAAACAGUGGUGAAAGUAUUUAGCUCCAUCCAUCGCAUAAGCAACUCUUCACUUCGGUGGUACUUAAUAAAAGGUAAGUUUACUGCACAAUAGCCUCCGAUAUCGCUAUGGUUGAAAGCAUAUC